rnacentral:rRNA from 1 species
CACGGGGGGAGCAAGCGUUGUUCGGAAUCACUGGGCGUAAAGGGCGCGUAGGCGGCCUGGCAAGUGGAAGGUGAAAUCCCUCGGCUUAACCGAGGAACUGCCCUCCAAACUGCUUGGCUUGAGUCCGGGAGAGGUGAGUGGAAUUCCCAGUGUAGCGGUGAAAUGCGUAGAUAUUGGGAGGAACACCAGUGGCGAAGGCGGCUCACUGGACCGGAACUGACGCUGAGGCGCGAAAGCGUGGGGAGCAAACGGG